UACGUAGGGAGCAAGCGUUGUUCGGAUUGACUGGGCGUAAAGGGCGCGUAGGCGGCCAACUAAGUCAGACGUGAAAUCCCUCGGCUUAACCGGGGAACUGCCUCUGAUACUGGAUGGCUUGAGAUUGGGAGAGGGAUGCGGAAUUCCAGGUGUAGCGGUGAAAUGCGUAGAUAUCUGGAGGAACACCGGUGGCGAAGGCGGCAUCCUGGACCAACACUGACGCUGAGGAGCGAAAGCCAGGGGAGCAAACGGG
rnacentral:rRNA from 1 species